GCUCCCAAAGAAAUCGGGAUGGGGACGGCACAGCGGAAGGAGAUGGCGGACGCGGUGUCGUACGAGGAGCAGCGGCGGAGGCAGGUGGAGGCGAACAAGCGCAAGCUCGAGGAGCUCCAGCUCCACCACCUCUCCGCCGCAGUCAGAGAGGCCGCCGCCAAGCCCUCGCCGGCCAAGAAGCGGAAGGCUCGGGUGCCGCGGGACGCCGCCGCGGAGCCGCUCCGGCGGUCCGGCCGCGUCGCCAACCUCCCGGAGAAGCCCAAGUACCGCGAGGAGGUUCAGGAUUUCGGAAGGAAGGUUAGAAGGACGUACGGCUCGAGGAGGAAGGACCUGGCGAACCGGGUGUACGCGACCGACGAGGAGCGGAGCCACGCCAUCACGAAGGCCGAGGAGCUGGCCGACGAGCUGGGCUCCAGCUUCCCCCUUUUCGUGAAACCCAUGACCCAGUCCCAUGUCACCGGAGGCUUCUGGCUGGGCCUCCCGACCCCGUUCUGCCGGAAGUACCUGCCCAAGCGUGACGAGACAAUCACGCUGGAGGAUGAGGAGGAUGACGAGUCCGAGACGCUCUACCUCACCAGGAAGAUGGGCCUCAGUGCUGGAUGGAGAGGAUUCGCCAUUGAGCACAAGCUGGUCGAUGGAGAUUGCUUGGUCUUCCAGUUGAUCGAGCGCACAAAGUUCAAGGUCUACAUGAUACGAGCAAGUUCCUACCACGAAGAUGAGGAGUGAUGAAACUAGUAGCUUCUAAUAUGGUGAUUGGAGCACAGACAUUCAGCUCAUCAACAAAUUUAACCCUUAUCAUGCCAGUUCCAUUUGUGAAAAUAAUAGAUGCUCUGAUGAUUAUCUGAACUGUGGUAAAGCUUUUUUGGUGGGGACAGCCAGAUUUUCCUUGCCCUUUUGUUCCAGAAACAUUUCAUCGAUAUUUGAACUCUGUGACCCACAUUUCUUUCGUAGCUCUGGUGACGGUUGCACUGCACAAAACCAGUGUGAGCAGGAUGGAACAAGCUCGCAUGUGGAGAUUGCUGGGCAUCUUCAACCUUUUGGCUGGCGAAAACACUGAUGUUCUCCCAGUUGCUAAUUUGUGGACUUGGGAUUUCGACUUGCAUGGUUCAGAAACCUGCACUAUGUAAGGGGAGGUGAAUGGCAACUAACGUUAUUUUGUAAAUUGAUGCCCGUCCUGGCUCCUGUUGGGGUCCAUUUCUCUGCUUGAA